GAAGGCCACCGGCGGCGCGUCCGGGUUAGAAACGGGACGUAGGGACGUACUGCGUGCGUGCGUGCGCACAAAAGUGAGCGCGCAUGGCGGGGCAGAACUAGGUGAGCAGACAGCUUCGGAGUGCGAACGGCUCCCCUUGGGUCCCCGGUGGAGCGCGGCUCCCGGAGGCAAAACGAAGCCAGCUGGGGCCGGGGCGUCAGAGCCUCCGCGUUGUAGUUGGGAGAGGUUCGAACGGGGCCUCAGCUGGCGAAGGGGAAAACGGACCCGGACCCGGACCCGUGGAGCCCGCUCGAAAGCCGGGUGCUGGGGGUGUGGGCCGCCCUUCCCCCCUCCGUCUUCAAUAAGAAAUUCCUCAAGGGCAGACUGCGAAUCCACAGUCGUGAAGCCGCCUAAUCUGGCGUCAUACCUGGAAUGUUUGGAUUCCUGCUAUGAAGAGAAAUUAACAUUUAUUGGCUACUUGUCCACUGGAAGGCGUUGUCUUAUUUCUCAUUAACUCCUUGAAUCAGCAUUACCUCUUUUAUUACAGAUGACUAAACGAUUUCAGCUUUAGUUCUUUGAGAGCAAAGACGAAAUCUCCAUUUCCUCCUCAGCUGCUGGUAGCUCGACGCUCACUGUUAAAAUAGGGAGGUGAUGAAACAACUCUUGUGUGAGACCGAAAGUCCAGGUGUGCAUCUUGGCUGUUUCCAAGUUAAUCAAGAAGAAUUAAGGAUUCAUUUCAUUGUAUCAAAAUUACUUGUCAAUGCCAAGAUAUUUUGCGUGAUGUAGAUUCGGGGACAGAGUAGCACAAUACCUGGGGAGAGUUAGGUGCUCAGCAAUUAUAAUUGUCCACACUUAGGAGUGCUUUUACCUAUGUGCCAGAAACUGUUCUACGCACUGAACAUAUCUCAAGUUAUUUAAUCUUAAGGACAGCCUUAUGAGCCAAUUAGUAUUAUUACCCAUUUUACAGAUGAGGGCACUGAGACAAAUUUGCCCAAGGUCACACACAACUAGUAGCAGAAUCAAGGAAAAAAAAAAAAAAAGCCAAAAAACCCAAAGCCCAGGCAAACUAAAUGUUCCUUGCAUCGCUAGACUGAAGUAGUGAAACAGUAAAGUUACGAGUCCAUGAAAACAUUAAAGGAUGUGAAGUAUGUACAAGUAACUGAAACAUUUAAUGCCCAAACUAAAGACUUAAAAUUUGCUAAGGUAAUAGUACAGAUAGAUUGACACCAAGUAAUCGCUGGUAACUGAAGCUACCGCCCAGCAUCCAUUUGCAGUCCCUCUUUGAAGGCAGCUGUGUCCAGAGCAGGUGGUUUAGGAAGCUUUCUAGACUUACAUUGUCAGCUGUCUCCACACCUAGAAGAUGGAGCUUUAGUGUUUAGGAGACAUGCAGAAAUGGGAUGACCAUUACAGACAUGCUCACAGAUGGACAGAAGCCUUUUUUUUCGUCUUUUCCCUUGAACUCUCCUUUGACCUCCAGCCGAAAUGGAGCUUGGCAGCUUUUUUUUUUUUUUUUUUUUUUUUUUUUUUUUUUUUUUUUUUGAGACGGAGUGUCGCUCUGUCGCCCAGGCUGGAGUGCAGUGGCGCAAUCUCGGCUCACUGCAACCUCCGCCUCCCGGGUUCACGCCAUUCUCCUGCCUCAGCCUCCCAAGUAGCUGGGAUUACAGGCGCGUGCCACUGGGUCCGGCUAAUUUUUGUAUUUUUAGUAGAGACGGGGUUUCACCAUGUUGGCCAGGCCGAUCUCGAACUCCUGACCUCAGGUGAUCCACCCCACUCGGCCUCCCAAAGUGAUAGGAUUACGAGUGUGAGCCACCACGCCAGGCCACUUGGCAGCUUUUAAGGGGUCAUUGAGAGCCUUGAACUCUGCUUCGUGGGGACAGACUUUGAAGAUCCUUGAAUAAAGAUGACUUUGGUUUGGGGAAGUGAUAUUACUAUGCCACAGAUCUUUUGUAAACUGCUCCAUUAUGUACAUAGAAGAGGACUCUGAGAAAUGCGUAGCGCUUUCCCAAUUAUGUUAUCGUUUCUACACAUAAUUUAACCCCCUCAAAAAUGAAACUCAGUAAGACUCAAAUCACAGUGACUCUAAAAAUGCCUGUGUUUUCUACCACAUGGUAAUUUCUACGUUAAUUUCCAUAGCAUGCCCGUGAACUUUCUCUUGCAAUUAAUAUAUUGGUGAUUUGCUCUGAUGAAGGAAUAAUGGAAAUAUCCUGUCCCUCUCUUUGCCUGUUAGCUUUCCAAGUCCUCCCACUUUUCCCCAACGCCGAGGGGACCUUCCAAAAUAGGAUUAUAUGUGAGAUUUACUUGCUUAGCCCAAAGUCAUUGAGGUACAACAUAUCUGAUCCACAAAAUAAUCAGUAUGUGGGUGAUUUCUUUAAAAAGUUUUGAACACUGGGCUGCAUCUUUAUAGUGCCACAAUGACUGUAACAAUUCAUUUAAAAAUCUAAUACUAAUAAAAAUCCUGUGUUUGUUUUUUUUUU